rnacentral:rRNA from 1 species
CUCAGACGAACGCUGGCGGCGUGCUUAACACAUGCAAGUCGAACGCGAAAGGGACUUCGGUCCUGAGUAAAGUGGCGCACGGGUGAGUAACGCGUAGAUAACCUGUCUUCAUGUCUGGAAUAAUACGCCGAAAGGGGUACUAAUACCGGAUAUUCUUGCUUUUCAUAAGUUAUGCAAGCAAAGGUGGCCUCUGCAUAUGCUACUGCAUGAAGAGGGGUCUGCGUACCAUUAGCUAGUAGGUGGGGUAAUGGCCUACCUAGGCGACGAUGGUUAGCGGGUCUGAGAGGAUGAUCCGCCACACUGGCACUGGAACACGGGCCAGACUCCUACGGGAGGCAGCAGUGAGGAAUAUUGCGCAAUGGGGGAAACCCUGACGCAGCGACGCCGCGUGAAGUGAGGAAGGCCUUCGGGUCGUAAAGCUCUGUCAAGAGGAAAGAAGUGUACAAUGGCUAAUACCUGUUGUAUUUGACGGUACCUCUAAAGGAAGCACCGGCUAACUCCGUGCCAGCCGCAGC